CGGGGAAUAUUGGGGCAAUGGGGCGCAAGCCUGACCCAGCAACGCCGCGUGAGGGAAGAAGGUUUUCGGAUUGUAAACCUCUGUCGCAGGGGACGAAGGAAGUGACGGUACCCUGUAAGAAAGCCCCGGCUAACUACGUGCCCAGCAGCCGCGGUAAUACGUAGGGGGCGAGCGUUGUCCGGAAUUACUGGGCGUAAAGGGUGCGUAGGCGGCUAUUUAAGUUGGAUGUGAAAUCCCCGGGCUUAACUUGGGUCUGCAUUCAAAACUGGAUGGCUAGAGUACAGGAGAGGGAAGCGGAAUUCCUAGUGUAGCGGUGAAAUGCGUAGAUAUUAGGAGGAACACCGGUGGCGAAGGCGGCUUUCUGGACUGACACUGACGCUGAGGCACGAAAGCGUGGGGAGCAAACAGGAUUAGAUACCCUGGUAGU
rnacentral:rRNA from 1 species